rnacentral:rRNA from 1 species
UACGAAGGGGGCUAGCGUUGUUCGGAAUUACUGGGCGUAAAGCGCACGUAGGCGGGUCUGUAAGUAGGGGGUGAAAUCCCAGGGCUCAACCCUGGAACUGCCUUCUAGACUGCAGGCCUCGAGGUCAGGAGAGGCGAGUGGAAUUCCGAGUGUAGAGGUGAAAUUCGUAGAUAUUCGGAAGAACACCAGUGGCGAAGGCGACUUACUGGACGAUUGUUGACGCUGAGGUGCGAAAGCGUGGGGAGCAAACAGG